CCCCCCUGAAGGACGGAGGAAACAACGUGCUUUUGUAUCAAGAAAGUCAUGUAUUUAAGAUCAGUUACAUGAUUUCUCAGUAUAAACAAGCAUGAGGAUUGUUCAGUGUUAAAUUGUUACACGGAUCAAACAUAUAAGAUAAGAUUUCAUUCUUUUCCUAAAGAUAAAAA